ensembl:snRNA U1 U1 spliceosomal RNA
AUACUUACCUGGCAGGGGAGAUACCAUGAUCAUGUAGGUGGUUCACCCAGGGCGAGGCUCAGCUAUUGCACUGAGGCUGUCUGACCUCUGUGAUCAGCGUUGAGCUCGACAGUAGUGCAGUUUGCGUUAGGACUUAUUGGCUGAGAGUCUAUAAAUA